rnacentral:rRNA from 1 species
CCCUUAGACGCUCUAGGCGGCACGCGCGCUACAAUGGGUGGUAGAACGUGUAACUGCUCCCGAAAGGGAGGGUGAACCACGAAUACUUACCCGUGAAUGGGAUAGUUUGUUGCAAUUUUCGGACUUGAACUAGGAAUCCCUUUUAAGAAUGCUCAAGAAUAGCGUGCUGAAUACGUCCCUGCCGUUUGUACACACCGCCCGUCGUUUCUUCCGACUGAUACUCAUUGUGAGUUGCAAGGAUUCUUAUUGAAAAAUUGCUGCGAAUGCUUUGUAUUGGAGGAAGAAAAAGUCGUAACA